rfam:Trichomonas vaginalis G3, whole genome shotgun sequence.
CUCGUCACUUAAUUAGUGACCUGCAUGAACGGAGCUAUGAGGUUCUCACUGUCCCAAACUGUCUCUCAGCGAACCAACUGUAGUGGGAACGGUCACUAGAUAUCCAGCGGGGAAAGAAGACCCUGUAGAGCUUCACUUUGGUCUAGUCUUGUAUAGUUCCUGCGGGGGUGUAGACUAGGUGGGAGAGCAAUCGAUUCUGAAAAACCACUACCCUGUUUGGAAUUAUGCUUACCUAUCACAAGGAAUAGGACUAGAUAGAAAGUUUGGCUGGGGCGGCACACCUUCGAAAGAGCAGCGAAGGUGUCCUAAGUUGAGCUCAGUGAGGACAGAAAUCUCACGUUGAGGAUAAGGCCAAAAGCUCAAUUUACUGUGCCUUUUUGUACUAGGAUCAGUUACGAAAGUAAGGCCUAACGAUCCCUAAAUAGCCUCAGGUGCGUGAGGAUUGGGGUGACAGACAAGUUACCUCCGGGACAACUGGCUUGUGGCUGCUAAGAGAUCAAAUCAACGCAGCUUUUUGAUUCUUCGAUGUCGGCUCUUCCUAUCCUAGUGAUGUACAAGUUGCUAAGGGUCGGAUUGUUCACCCGUAUUAGGGAUCGUGAGCUGGGUUUAGACCGUCGUGAGCCAGGUUUGUUUUAUCCUACUGGAUAUAGCAUCAUGAUAGUAGAUUGAUUUAGUACGAGAGGAACUGUUGAUUAUGGCCUCUGGUUAGCGAUUAUAGGAAACGGUAUGUCGCGCAGCUACGCCGUCUGGGAUAAUGGCUGAAAGCCUCUUAAGCCAGAAGCCCAUCUAGAAAGUGAUGCACGUGAUGUUGGACCGAUACGAAUAAUCAUACUCAAAAGGUCCGCUUCAUAGGUAACCCAAUGUAGAAGACAUUGUGUGAACGAAGGUACUGUAAGCAGUGGAGUGGCAUUACGUCCACGACCUGUGAGGUCAG